GCGGUUACACCUGCUCUUCAACUCAAAAAUCCAAAUAGAAUUACAGGUAUUUAAAGUUGUCUAAUAAUUAAAAAUUAGUUGUUAAUAUCAAAAUUUUCAUUCUAAAUUGGACUAGAGCCCAAGUAAUUUAAUGAAUUAGGUUAAGUAAGACUUAAAUCAAAUGGCGGUAUUAUUUUUAAGCAGAGAAACUUGAAAUUUAGAUAAUCCUCUUUAUUGUAGAUUUUUGAAAAGUUUAGGUAUGGUUGUCCAAAAAUAAUAAGUUAAUUAAAUUUAUAGUCAAAUUACAUCUAACUUCAAAAAAAGAUUGAGUUGCUUAUUUAAUAAAAAGAUUCUUUUAAAAUAACUGAGGAUUUGCAAGUAAAAUAAAUUUUUGAAUAUUCUAUAAGUACA
rnacentral:rRNA from 1 species